rnacentral:misc_RNA from 1 species
AAUCCGAGAAUUUCACCUCCAACAAUGAAAUACGAAUGUCCCCGACUGUCCCUCUUAAUCAUUACUCUGGUCUCACAGACCAACAAGAUAAGCCAGAGUCCUAUCGUGUUAUUCCAUGCUAAUGUAUUCAGAGCGUAGGCUUGCUUUGAACACUCUAAUUUACUCAAAGUAACCUCGUCAGCUCCUAGUCCCAGGAAGUGAAUCCAAGGAGCUAGUCCCCGACAACAAGAUAGGACUGGCCAGUGCACAUCGUAACGACGGACCGGCAAAUCCCAUCCGAAAUCCAACUACGAGCUUUUUAACUGCAACAACUUAAAUAUACGCUAUUGGAGCUGGAAUUACC